rnacentral:rRNA from 1 species
GACGAACGCUGGCGGCGUGCUUAACACAUGCAAGUCGAACGGAAAGGCCCUGCUUGCAGGGUACUCGAGUGGCGAACGGGUGAGUAACACGUGGGUGAUCUGCCCUGCACUUCGGGAUAAGCCUGGGAAACUGGGUCUAAUACCGGAUAGGAGCCAUUUUUAGUGUGAUUGUUGGAAAGUUUUUUCGGUGUAGGAUGAGCUCGCGGCCUAUCAGCUUGUUGGUGGGGUAAUGGCCUACCAAGGCGGCGACGGGUAGCCGGCCUGAGAGGGUGGACGGCCACAUUGGGACUGAGAUACGGCCCAGACUCCUACGGGAGGCAGCAGUGGGGAAUAUUGCACAAUGGGCGCAAGCCUGAUGCAGCGACGCCGCGUGGGGGAUGACGGCCUUCGGGUUGUAAACUCCUUUCGCUAGGGACGAAGCUGUUUGUGACGGUACCUAGAGAAGAAGCACCGGCUAACUACGUG